rnacentral:misc_RNA from 1 species
GUGAAUCAUCGAAUCUUUGAACGCAAAUUGCACUCUCCUCAGAGAUUAUGCCUGUUUGAUGGUCAGCCUAUAAAAAUCGACAUCGUUGCUGUUUCGCGUUGUCGUUCUUAGGAAAUUGGGUCAUCUUAAAUCCUUGUGUUUUAAGCGACUUAAAAUUUUCUUUUGGUUCCAUGAACGUUUCUAAUAUCUAUUUCGUUACACGUUUAAGGUAUCUAUGUUUACUAUAUGUGACCAGCAUAUCGGAUCUCGUACAUAAUCUUUCAUG